AUGAAUUUUAAUUGGAGUUGAUGCUGGCAGCUUGGCUGUAUGUGCUCGCUCCUAACAAUCUUCAUCCAAACACCUGUGCACAUUUAGAGAGGGCCCCCGAGUUCUGCUUGGGGUCCCUUCCUCUGAUACACACUUUAGUUAAAUAUUGAACGUGAUUGUGCCGUGAGGCCUUGAUAUAUUAAUA
rnacentral:misc_RNA from 1 species